UACGGGAGGCAGCAGUGGGGAAUAUUGCACAUGGGCGCAAGCCUGAUGCAGCCAUGCCGCGUGUAUGAAGAAGGCCUUCGGGUUGUAAAGUACUUUCAGCAGUGAGGAAGGUGGGUAUGUUAAUAGCAUACUCAUUUGACGUUAGCUGCAGAAGAAGCACCGGCUAACUCCGUGCCAGCAGCCGCGGUAAUACGGAGGGUGCGAGCGUUAAUCGGAAUUACUGGGCGUAAAGCGCAUGCAGGUGGUUUGUUAAGUCAGAUGUGAAAGACCCGGGGCUCAACCUCGGAAUUGCAUUUGAAACUGGCAAACUAGAGUACUGUAGAGGGGGUAGAAUUUCAGGUGUAGCGGUGAAAUGCGUAGAGAUCUGAAGGAAUACCGGUGGCGAAGGCGGCCCCCUGGACAGAUACUGACACUCAGAUGCGAAAGCGUGGGGAGCAAACAGGAUUAUAUACCCUGGUAG
rnacentral:rRNA from 1 species